rnacentral:rRNA from 1 species
GACAGAGGUCCCGAGCGUUAGGCGGAAUCACUGGGCUUAAAGCGUGUGUAGGCGGAGUGCUAAGUACCUUGUGAAAUCCCACGGCUCAACCGUGGAACUGCUUGGUAUACUGGUUCUCUUGAGCCACCUAGGGGCAACCGGAACAAACGGUGGAGCGGUGAAAUGCGUAGAUAUCGUAAGGAAGACCAGUGGCGAAGGCGGGUCUCUGGACAGUUCCUGACGCUGAGGCACGAAGGUCAGGGGAGCAAACGGG